CAAUUGCAUGUGGUGGGUUCAUAUUUAUUAGAUAAAUUUUGGUUUGAACUAAAAUGGAUAUAUUAUGAUUUUGGCUCUAGAUUAAGUGUUUUUGUUCUAAUUAUUGUAAUUAGCCUUGUUGAUGGCUUAUUUUUAUUGUUGCAAGUGUUUGUAAUUUUUAAAAAAAUAAAAAAAGUCAUUAGAGUUGAAGCUAGGCUGUAAUUGGUUCAACCGAGUGAGAGAAUUGAAAAAAAUGAAGAAAGAGGUCACAGACCCGAAAACCCGCCUUGACCGCUUCGCGACCGCCGCGCGCCUGCGCGCCCUCCUGCGCCCGCCGCCGCCUUCGCUCGCGCGCCUGCCUUCGCACGACCGUGUGCGCCUGGGCCAGUUCAAGCCAAUAAUUUGGUUUUUGGGCCGGUUCAAGCGGUUUCGGUUGGUUUUUUAGCCGGUUCGAAGUUUUUGUGGAGUGGUUCUGUAUACACCAAAUUAUUAUGUAAUAAUUUUAGCACUUAGCUUAAUUUAGGAGCCAAAAUCAGUCCAUUUUAGGGUGUUCUUUUUUAUUUAUGCAUGUGAUGUAUGAUUAAUUACUUUAAAUUUGUAUGUGCAUUUUGAAUGUCAUAUAGCACUAGUACAAAAGUGGGCUACGACGACAGUUAUUUACUGUCGCGAACGGAUUUCGUGACAGUUAUUUUCAGUCAUAGAGCGGGGUCAUGGAAAGGCCUUCGCGACAGUUUUUGAAAACUGUCGCAAUAGGUUGUUUUAUGACAUGAAAUAAAUGUCGUUAAUCAACAUUCAACGACAUUCAUACUGUCAUAAUUAUUUUUUAACAUUCAAUAACUAUCAUCAUUUUUUAUUAACGACAGUUAAUAAUUGUCACGAAUUCUAUUAUCGUGACAUGUAUUAAUUGUCAUGAAUAUGUUUUUCGCGACAGUUUUUUUUUGUAAAAAUGUCAUUGUUUAGUUAUUGACGACAUUUUUUUCCAGUCAACGAUUGUGCAAUCGUGACAGUUUUUCGAUAACAUUAAAUGUCAUUGUUUGCCAUUGACGACAUUUUUUUCCAUUCAAUAAUAUAAUGCAAUCGUGACAGUUUUUUUUUUAAAAAAAUUGUCAUUGUUUAUCUUAUGACGACAUGUUAUUCCUGUCACAUAUAGAGCAAUCGUGACAAUUUAUUUUGUUAAAUAACUGUCAUCGUUCUCCAAUUUACAACAACUAUUAACUAUCACUUUCUCAAUUUCCUAUAGUUUUAUUUUGUUCUCCAUGCAGCUCCACCAUUACACGACCAUUAGAAUGACAAUAAUGUAGCUGAGAAUGACAAAAUUUGAAAUUAUACAAGUUUCACACCAAUGUACAAGAAAUAGCCAACACUUUAAUAUAUAUACACUAUAAUACGAUUUAUAAUAUUUGUACAUCUUAAUACAAGUUUCAGUAAUCCACAUGUACGAAAUACUAACCUUAAUCAAAAAUAUCUUAAAUAACAUUCGAAUAUAUUUGACUGGACCAACCGAGAAUGUUCGUUUCUGGAAAUGAUAUUUGAAACAAAACUCAUGAACUUGUCGACUCCAGUUGAACCUACAAAGAAUCCAUACACAUACGUACAGUCAAUGAAUAACUAAAUCAAGUCUCAACAAAAUACAGACACAAACAAGAACUUCAACACUUGAUUCCAUGAAUGAAAAGAGAAGACCAUGAGGACUAUAUUAGGCAAACACAGCAAACAAAACAUACUGCUACUCUUUCUCUCUAGAAUACACAUACCAAAAACAUACCAGCUCACUCUUUCUCUCUAGAAUACACAGUCCACAAUCAAUAUUGAAUACGUCAAUAAUAAAUAGUACAAUGGGUUUUAGGUGUAUAGAUAGUAUGCUUAUCAUACUAACUGCUAAAAAUGUGCACAGGUUAGAAGAAUCCUAAAAGAACCCACAACUAAAACAAACACACAACGGAAACUCACCUGAAAAUCGCUCUAAUCUGUCGCCAAAAAACACUCUCAAUAUCUCAAUCUAGCUGUUUAAGACAAAAAAAGAGAAUGUUGGAGAGUGGUCUCCAGAGGAUUAAAAAUCAUUUUUGACUAGUACAAAUCAUUUUAUAAGAACCCAAAAGCAGAUAAUCAUCCAAAAUCAAUUGAUCAUACGAGAACAAUAUAUCAACAUUCAUAACUAGUUGAACAAACCUUAGCUUUAUGAACCAACGACCUUUGUUUUCAUCUUUCAUGUUGACCAUAGAAGUCAAAACUUCUGUUUUAUAACAAAACUAAAACAAAUAGGACACCAAAGUGCCCAAACAAAAUCAAAAGGUCAAAUGCCAAUAAUAUUUAAAGAAGGAAAUGAUAGCAAAUAGCACAAUUUAGGUAAUAAACAAAAAACAAAGGAAAAAUCAAUAUCAAAAUAGGGACGAACAAUAGAGAUAUGAAUCAACAACUUGGGUAUGAAGCAACAAAGUAAUAUUAACAUAUCAAUAAAACUCAUAAGAGUAACAUUAAACAUAACAAUAUAACUCGUUGUAAAAAGACCCUCCUUAAUUGUUGUGUAAUAUAAUCACUUACUUGGUAGCUUCAACACUAUAGUAGAUCAUAUUCAUGCAAAACCUAAUAAAAACGCAAAAGUUACAUUUUGUAAACUACAAUAGAGAGUUUUGAACUACUACCAUACAACAAAUGUCAAAGAAAAUAAAAACUUUGCAUUUAGAGUUUUGAACUACAGUAGAAACUAAUAUUAACUAUUUGAGAAUAAGAACAUAUCAUCUAUCAAAAACUUAGGUCCAUAGUUUGGGAUAUCAAACGUUCUUACAAUAUAAAAUACUUUCCAUUGAUAACUAUUUGGUUUUUGUUUUUUUUUUAGAACCAUGAAAAAACAGUUUUUGUUUUGAACUUUUUUUUUAUUUAGCUAAAAGUUUAACUUUUGUACUUUAGAAAGAUGUAAAUCGUUAGGUUAAUUUUAAAAACCUAAAAACAACUAGCUACUAAACCGAAGCUUAAAUUGAACUACUUGAAACUUUUAUUCUGCACCUUACAAAAUUUCAUAAAGAGAAGAAUAUUAUUUCAUCAUUCAAUACAACUUCAGCAUGUCUCCUCACCAAAGUAAUCCACUAGAAACAUGGCAAAAAAUUAAUCAACACGUUUUAAAGAUUAAAGAUAAUAUGUUAUUUUACAAGUAAACAAAGAGGUUAAACCUGGAAAAGAAGAUUAGAGAAUGGAAGAAAAGGGUUUAAGACCCAUUGCAUUUGCUUGUCAACAUACAAACGAUCAAACAGCGUUUGAAGGAGAGUUAAAGCUGCUUGCUAUCUAGGUCUUAAGAUCUCACAUAAAAAAAAUGCUACAUGAGUUGAAGAUAUUGAAAAUCUUGGUACAGAAUCAAUAGCAUGCAUCAGAAGAUAAGUUUUCUAUGAUCAUAAACAUGGCCGAUGAUGUUAUCAAUGAUGAUCUUCUAAAAAAUAACAAAUUUCUAAAUUGAAGGACAACAAACAUAAAAAAUGAAGGACAAUAGAGAAUAACCAUACAUAUUCUCACAUAGUUUUCGCUACAAAAUACACACAUUUGCAAUAUGCUAUCAAAAUCCAAACGGUGCAAGGCUACCUCAAUGAUUUCACUAAAUCCAAAUUAUGCAAUCAAAAUCAAAGGAUACUGCAUUUGCAUUUUUUCAAAGUUCUAACCACGUCCAUAUUUUUUAGAGUAAAGUUUAACACCAGUAACCAAAAUAGAGAGAAGAAUAUACAGGGGCAAGAUGAAACCAAAACAAGCCAAAACAAGACGACCUUUACACUCAAUUACAGAGGAGGAGCAUGGAAAUCAAAUACUUACGUUUUAUUGUCCACAAUAAUAUAGGUAAAUGGUGAAUGCCUCUUCACAAACCGAGAAACAUAGAAAAUCACAAAUGUGGUAACUCAUAGGAAUCAUUAAACACCCAUUACAAAAAAAAAAAAAAGCAAUAUUCUUUCAGAGUAAAUAGUAGAAAAAAGACAAAAUAUUUAUGGCAACACAUCAGAAAUUUUUAGCACAAUAAAUAUGAGUGUGACUUUAAACUUCUUGCCAAAGAAUAGGUGCAAAAUAUAUAUUUCACUGAAAAGAAGAAAUAAACGAUAAUUAAAUAAUUUACAAGUGUAGGUGACAUUUCAUAAUUCAACAACUGUUAAUUAAGAUACAAACCAAUAGAGGUUUGAAAAGUGGAAAGUUCUCAAUGUUAUUCAAAAUGUCAAAAUUAACAUAUCAGUGUGGAACAUCAAAGCCACAUCACAAUAUUUCAUGCAGACACUGAUGCAAUUGAAUGAAAAGUAAAUUUCACUUCAACUAAGAAAUACAAUUAACGCAGAAUUUUACCUAAAGAAAUUUAAGUUAUGUCUAUCUUUUGAUGUUUCAUUUCAUCAGAGCCUCCAAUUCCAUUACACUUUUUAAUACCAUACACUUGAAAGGCAGUUUGAUAAACAUUUGUAGUUUUGUUCAUUCCACUUCAAAAAACUGAAACAAACAUAGGAAGUAGAACUUCGUUGAGAUCAUUAUUUAAACAAUGGUUUCUUCUUCUAGAAAAAUAUGUUUAAUUCUUCAACCAUUACAAGCAUCAAAUGCAUUCAUGAAUUGACAGUGACAUCAAACUAAUAUGGUAAAAAAAUAAACAAUAAUAUUAUAAUAAACUUUAUCCAUCUUAAUCGGAAGACCUCUCUUUCUACUACUAUCCAAUUCAAUGAGAAAUUAUAAACUACAAACUAUAAAAUUGUCAGUUCUGAAACUCCAACGCAGAAAGAAAAGAACGAAGAUAGAGAAGGCAAUAUGUGGUUUACCUUGGAGAAUGGCACCCCCAAAAAUCAGUUCCAAAAUAAAGUGAAGAAUAGUAUAUAUAGCACCGGUACUCACAGUAAGGGCGUAAAUUGCGUAUCUUCUAACAUUAUCCCAAAAUUCCUCAACCAAAGGGCCUUCAGGCCCAAAGCCAAAGCCCCUUCGCGUUGCAACCAAUCAAAAACAGGCACCACCCAUCGGACGGCUUGAUUGUCUUGAUUUCCCUCUUGAGGUUGCUUCGAUUGUCUUGAAAUUCGAUGUGGAGGGUUUUUUCAGGGGAAAUUGAAUGAAGAGGAAAACAGAAUGUGGAUCGACGACUGGCGGUUGUGAGCGGCGAACGUGGCGGUUACUGGUUCACACGGCGACUCGGGCUUCGACGAAGACAGAACCGGUGAUGGAGACGGCAGAUCGGCGCGCGGAACGACUGCUGCAGGGUUGCUUGGCGAUCCAGAGAUGGAGACGGCAGAUCGCGGGGCUACGGCGGGAAGAAAACGGAAGAGAAAGACGGCUGGCUGCGGCUGGGCUGCGGCGGGAAGGAACGAAAAGAAGGGAAGGGAGAAGGAGACGGUGGAGUCGUCGCGACGUACGGAGGAAGGAGAAGAGGCGCGGCGGUUGCAGCUGGGGGAAGGGGAAGGACGCACGGGAGGAAGAAGGAAAUAGGGAAAAGAAAGAAAAAGGAAAAAGAAAAGAAAAGGAAAAAAGAAAAAAAAUUUAACCCUAACAUUCUAUGACAGUUAAUAACUGUUGCGAAAAGUGUUUUUCCGAAAAAUUCCGUCUUUUCCCGCCAAAAACGCGAAAUUUUAUAUUUCGUGACAGUUUUUUUUCUUCCAUUCAUUUUUUGAGAUAUAUAACUGUCAUUGUAGGGUAGUUUUCUUCUAGUGUAGAUUUAAAAUCCCACCAUAGGUUAACAUGUUCAUGCAUUAAAAUGUAUGAUAUAAAGGUUAUAUUGUAUUGUAUGCAUGUUAAUUGAUUAAUAUGGAAAUUAAUUAAUAUGAUUAAUUAAUUAUUUAAUUAAUUAAGUUAUUCUUGAUUAAAUAUGAUUUAAUCAAAUUAAUUAAUUAUUGUUUGAUUUAAUUUAAUUAAAUAUGAUUUAAUUAAAGUUAAAUAAAUUAAAAUCCAUAUUAAUUGAUUGUUUUUAUUAUAUAUUGAUAAAAUGAUUGAUUAAGUUUAAAAGUUUUUAUAAGUGUUAUAAAAUAAAUUAGACUUUUAAAAUCAAUAACAAAGAUUAAAUGCAUGCUCACUUAGGUUAAACAUAUCUUCCAUUUUUCAUAGAAAUAGGUCGAUAUCUUGUAAAACUGGUUACAAAAGGCUCACCUGGUUCAAUCUUGUCAACAAGUCAGAUAAGAUGACUAAGGUUGGAGGUUCUUAAGUUGACGGUUUACGGAACACCUCCUACCUGGAGAUCGUAAUCAGUUCUUGAGCCUAGUUAACCUAGUUUUAUGAGCAUUCGUGAGAGGUGUGAGGUAAUAAAAAUGGUUUUUCACCUAGACAUCAUAGGUUAAAAUCCUGUAUAAUGGUUAUACUUGGAUGUUUUAUCUAGACUUAAGAUUUGUUUAAGUUAGCCUAAAUAUAAAUCUUGAAGUUUGGAUUACCCUUUUUUUCUUUUAGAACACUUCAACUAGAGAAAAAUAAUGUAUUUUAGCUCUAGUGUCCCUAAGAGUUCACACCGUGAGGUCCAUGCAGGGCUUUGUGCCGUGCAUAGGAGCGGCCUCCCUUCGGAGAGUGUUUGCAUGGAUCAAAAUCAAGGUGAAUAGGGGAAGUAGUUCAUAGUAAGUGGGUGAGGGAUUUGUGCAGCACAUCCCACGGUCUCUUCCAUUAGGUCGCACCGUGAGAUUUCUAUAAUAUGCCUGCUUGUCUGCCCUGGAGCGACGUUCCCUUCGGAGGGUUGUAUUAUAGGAUUCGGAACACCGCGAACUCCAAAACUGGAUAGGAUUUCUUAGAUUAGUUUUCAUAAAUGAUUCUAAUCUAUAAAAUCUGAAAAUGGUGGGUAACACUUACAAGAAUUACUAAGUUGUUAGUAUAUUCUUGACUAAAGUAGCGAUAACUAAGUGCUAUAAAGAAUAAAGAGUUAUUCUUGAGAUAGCAUCUAGUCAAGAUUGUCUUGGUUCAAAGGAGGAAUAAUCAACUACCCUUCGGAGAAGGUUGUUCUAAACCUUUGAAAUAUUGUUGCAAAAUACAAAUAAUGAAAGGGUACAUUAUUAGUAAUUGCUAAAUUAGAUUGGAUAUUUUUUAUGAUUAUAGUUUUUUCUAAAAAGAAUAUGUUUGUUUUUCAGCAUGAAUAGCUCAAUAGUUCAACUUUUAGCUUCCGAAAAACUUAAUGGCGAUAAUUAUGCGGCUUGGAAAUCAAAUCUUAACACAAUACUAGUGGUUGACGAUUUAAGAUUUGUCUUAACUGAGGAAUGUCCUCAAAACCCUGCCUCUAAUGCUAACCGAACUAGUCGGGAUGCAUAUGAUCGAUGGAUAAAAGCUAAUGAAAAAGCCCGUGUUUACAUUCUUGCCAGCAUGUCUGAUGUAUUGGCAAAGAAACAUGAAUCCUUAGCCACGGCUAAAGAGAUUAUGGAUUCAUUAAGGGGAAUGUUUGGGCAACCAGAAUGGUCCUUAAGACACGAGGCAGUCAAAUACAUUUACACUAAGCGUAUGAAGGAAGGGACCUCUGUUAGAGAACAUGUUCUGGACAUGAUGAUGCACUUCAACAUCGCUGAAGUGAAUGGUGGUCCCAUCGAAGAGGUUAAUCAAGUUAGUUUUAUCUUAGAGUCUCUUCCGAAGAGCUUCAUUCCAUUCCAAACGAAUGCGUCUUUGAACAAGAUAGAAUUUAACUUGACAACCCUUCUGAAUGAACUCCAGCGAUUCCAAAACCUAACUAUGGGUAAAGGAAAACAAGUGGAAGCAAAUGUUGCUACCACAAAAAGAAAAUUUAUAAGAGGAUCGUCCUCUAAAACCAAAGCUGGACCCUCAAAACCUAAUGCUCAAAUAAAAAAGAAGGGAAAGGGAAAGACUCCCAAACAGAACAAGGGUAAGAAAGCUGCAGAAAAAGGUAAGUGUUACCAUUGUGGCCAAAACGGGCACUGGUUAAGAAACUGCCCAAAAUACCUUGCAGAAAAAAAGGCAGAGAAGGAAACACAAGGUAAAUAUGAUUUACUAGUUGUAGAAACAUGUUUAGUGGAAUAUGAAAAUUCUACCUGGAUACUAGAUUCAGGAGCCACUAACCAUAUUUGCUUCUCAUUUCAGGAAAAUAGUUCUUGGAAAAAGCUUUCAGAAGGUGAGAUCACUCUCAAGGUUGGAACAGGAGAGAUGGUCUCAGCUUCAGCAGUGGGAGAUUUAAAGUUGUUUUUUAGAGAUAGAUAUGUCAUACUUAAGAAUGUCUUAUAUGUACCUCAAAUGAAAAGAAAUUUAAUAUCUAUCUCUUGUAUUUUGGAACAAAUGUAUAGAAUAUCUUUUGAAAUUAAUGAAGCGUUCGUUUUCUAUAAAGGUAUUCUAGUUUGUUCUGCUAUACUUGAAGACAACUUAUAUAAGUUAAGACCAACUAGAGCAAAUUUUGUCUUAAAUACUGAAAUAUUCAGAACAGCUGAAACUCAGAAUAAAAGACAAAAAGUUUCUUCUAAUGCCUAUUUAUGGCACUUAAGACUUGGUCACAUAAAUCUCAAUAGGAUUGGGAGAUUGGUUAAAAGUGGGCUUCUAAGUCCGUUAGAAGAUAACUCUUUACCUCCUUGUGAAUCUUGUCUUGAAGGAAAAAUGACCAAGAGAUCUUUUACUGGAAAAGGUCUAAGAGCCAAAGGACCCUUAGAGCUCGUACAUUCGGACCUUUGUGGACCAAUGAAUGUCAAAACUCGAGGUGGAUAUGAAUAUUUCAUUAGCUUCAUUGAUGAUUAUUCAAGGUAUGGUCAUAUUUACCUAAUACAUCAUAAGUCUAAUAGUCUUGAAAAGUUCAAAGAAUAUAAGGCUGAAGUAGAAAACGAAUUAGGUAAAACAAUAAAAAUACUUCGAUCAGAUCGAGGUGGAGAGUAUAUGGACUUACGAUUCCGAGACUAUUUAAUAGAAAAUGGAAUCCAGUCACAACUCUCUGCACCUAGUACACCUCAACAGAACGGUGUAUCAGAAAGAAGAAACUGGACCUUGUUAGACAUGGUUCGCUCUAUGAUGAGUUUUUCUCAGAUGUCAGAUUCUUUUUGGGGAUAUGCUUUAGAAACAGCUGCUUAUAUUUUGAAUAAUGUUCCCUCUAAAAGUGUUUCAGAAACACCUUAUGAGCUAUGGAAAGGGCGUAAAGGCAGUUUACGUCAUUUUAAAAUUUGGGGUUGUCCAGCACAUGUGUUGGUACAAAAUCCAAAGAAAUUGGAACAUCGUUCAAAAUUAUGCUUUUUUAUAGGUUAUCCAAAAGAAUCAAGAGGUGGUUUGUUUUAUGAUCCUCAAGAAAAUAAAAUACCACAUCAGGGAUCAUCAACCUCGUAGUAAACUAGUAUUUAAAGAAAUUUCCAAAAGUGCUAUAGAUAAAACCUAGUUCAUCCACUAAAGUAGUUGAUAAGACUAGGAAAUCUGGUCAAUCACAUCCUUCUCAACAGUUGAGAGAGCCUCGACGUAGUGGGAGGGUUGUUCAUCAGCCUGAUCGCUAUUUGGGUUUAAUUGAAACUCAAGUCGUCAUACCUGACGAUGGCAUAGAGGAUCCAUUAACCUAUAAACAGGCAAUGAAAGAUGUAGAUCGUGACCAAUGGAUCAAAGCCAUGGACCUCGAAAUGGAGUCUAUGUACUUUAAUUCUUUCUAGACUCUAGUAGAUCAACCAAAUGACGUAAAACCUAUUGGUUGUAAAUGGAUCUACAAGAGAAAACGAGACCAUGCCGGUAAAGUACAGACUUUUAAGGCUCGACUUGUGGCAAAGGGUUAUACCUAGAGAGAGGGAGUAGACUAGAGGAAACUUUCUCUCCCGUUGCCAUGUUAAAGUCAAUUAGAAUACUCUUAUCCAUCGCCACUUUUUAUGAUUAUGAAAUUUGGCAGAUGGAUGUCAAGACAGCUUUUUUGAACGGUAAUCUUGAAGAGAGCAUCUAUAUGUCUCAACCAGAGGGGUUUAUAAAACAAGAUCAAGAACAAAAGGUUUGUAAGCUUAAAAAAUCCAUUUAUGGAUUAAAACAAGCUUCUAGAUCCUGGAAUAUAAGAUUUGAUAUUGCGAUCAAAAUCUUAUGGCUUUGAACAAAAUGUUGACGAGCCUUGUGUUUACAAAAGGUCGUCAAUUCCAUUAUAGCAUUUUUUAGUCUUAUAUGUAGAUGAUAUUCUACUUAUUGGAAAUGACUAGGAUAUCUUCCUGAUAUCAAGAAAUGGCUAGCUAUGCAAUUUCAAAUGAAAGAUCUGGGAGAUGCACAAUACGUUCUCGGAAUCCAAAUUGUUCGAAACCGUAAGAACAAAACACUAGCCAUGUCUCAAGCAUCUUACAUAGACAAAAUGUUGUCUAGAUAUAAAAUGCAGAAUUCCAAAAAGGGUCUGCUGCCGUACAGAUAUGGAAUUCAUUUGUCAAAGGAACAAUGUCCUAAGACACCUCAAGAAGUUGAGGAUAUGAGAAAUAUUCCCUAUGCUUCCGCUGUUGGAAGUUUAAUGUAUGCAAUGUUAUGUACUAGACCUGACAUUUGCUACUCAGUAGGGAUGGUCAGUAGGUAUCAAUCCAAUCAUGGACGUGAUCACUGGACAGCCGUUAAAAACAUUCUACAUGCUCAUGUAUCGUACAAAGGAUCUGAUCCUUACUGGAUACACUGAUUCAGAUUUCCAAACUAAUAAAGAUGUUAGAAAGUCUACAUCAGAAUCAGUAUUUACUCUAAAUGGAGGAGCAGUAGUUUGGAGAAGCAUAAAGCAAACUUGUAUAGCUGAUUCCACAAUGGAAGCUGAUCAUUUUACAAAAGCCCUCAUGGCUAAAGUGUUUGAGGGUCACCUACACAGUUUAGGUGUACGAUGUUUGUAAACUAGGACAAGUGGGAGACUUAUUGGCCAUGUGCCCUAGUUUCAUAUAUAUUCUCUCACACCACAUCUCUCAUACCACUAGGAAUUUUAGUCCAAGUGGGAGUUUGUUGGAAUUUUUUGUCCUAAAACUCGUAGUUUGUAAAUCAUAUUCUAUUCAAUAAAGUUGUUAUUGAGAAAUUAAAUAUUAUAAUCUUAAAUCCAAUAAAUCAAAGUUCCAAGGCUAUUUUUUGAAUAAACUUGAACUUUAUGUGUAAACAUAAACGUGGAUCAAGUUCGAGUAUAUAGCCUAAAUAGUCUAUAGUAUAUGAAAUAAAGGUUGGGCGCCUUAUUUUGAGAGACUAUGGAUGCGGCCCACUUUGUAGUACAAACGAUGUGAUCCUAAUCGUUCAUGUAGAGACAUGAAAGUGGGGGCAUCCUAUGUAAAAUGUUUACAUAAGACUGAACCAUGAAUUAGUCAUUUUUACGUUAUAACACCGUUUACUGUUUAAAACUGACUAUCUCAAUUAUUGAUGACCUAGGUAACUUAGUCUUAAUCCUGAGUUAACUAUGAACUCCUGUUCAUACGAGAUUAUCCUUAGAUCUGCAUAGGUGAGGGCAGCUCAUCAGCGUUGGCCCAAUAAGCCUCCCAUUUCAGGGGUAAGAUCGGGUGGAUAGCUGGGAACAUAGGGUACAAGAUGGAAUUCACUCCUACCCGCUUUAGGGUUAGUAGAUAGGUUGCUCUCUUAAGCACUGAAUCCAAGUCUUGAACAAGGGGCCCCACCCUCUCAUUGGCCCGAGAGGGAUUAAGUUUAUAGGUUGAACCUUAAACCAAUUGUUCAAUAGUGGAUUAGUGGGACUUAAGGAGCAAGAUGUAAUCUUGGGGGUAAAACGGUAUUUUGACCCAGCCAAGGUUACGAGCAACCUGUGAAGGAUUAACUUACUGAUUAUGGUUUUAUCAAAUGGACACAAAUAUAUCUAUAGUGAGGGGAGUGCAACUACGGGACUUUAGUGGAAUGACCCGUUAGUUAACGAAUGUUGAUUAACUCGGUUUAAAAGAGUUUAGCUAGUUAAUCUUGAAUCGUUGGAGCCCAUGAUCUAUAGGUCCAUUAGGUUCCUCUGCUAGCUCAUAUGGAUUAAACUUAGAACAGUGUGAUGAAAUAAGUCGAAUUGUUCGAAUAGGGAGAAGAAAGGAAAACCGACAUAUACAGUGAUAUAAUCGUCGGUCUUCUAAUUAGAAAUAGAGCUUUAUGUUUUACAUACUAUAAGUAUGAAUGCGGAUUCAUACUAAGAAACUCGGAAUUGGUCAAAAAUGCUAAAAAGUCAAAAUGUUGACUUUUGACUUUGAAAAGUCAAACUUUGACGGCCUUAUAUUCAAAUGUGAUUUGAAUUUGGAAAAAUGAAUGCGGAUUCAUGCUCGGGAGGUUGGAAUUAGUCAAGACGGACAAAAUGGUAAAAAGUCAAAAUAUUGACUUUUGACUUAGAAAAGUCAAAGUUUGACUUUUGACUAGAAAAAUCUAAUGACCAUUUUACCCUUGACUAAGUUAGUGGAAAAUCCAACAUUUUGUUGGAUAAUCCCACUAACUCUUAGUGGAUAUGUGGCUAUAUGAGAUAUAGACACCUAGCCCACUAAGUUCCACUAAUUGUUAGUGGAAUAUUAGGUUGAGAUUUGGCAAUUGAAUUGCAUGCAUUUUUGCAUGUAAUUAGGCUAUAAAUAGAGAUGUUUUCAAAUGUUGAAGGACUUUUGCCUCUUUUAUCAUUUCAUAAUCUCAACAAAAGAAAAAAGAAAGCUUCCAAUCUCAUUUUAUCUCCAUUACUUUCUACACCAAAAUUGGGUCCCACAACCCGGUUCUUUGUCUAGAGGAUAGCAGUUGAGUACUAGUGGUGGUCUCGGGUAGAAUUGGUAAGAAGACAUCAAACCUUUUGAAAGCUUCAAAGGUAAUACUUCUUAAAACCCUAAUUUGAUUAGUUUUAUGGUUAGAUGUUAAUUGUGGCAAUUAGGGUAGAAAUUCGAUUCUUUUCCCCUGUGCAUGACUUAGUUCUAUCACGCAGUAUCAAAUCUUAUAUUCCAGGAUCUAGAAGCUUGUUUUAAUCCAUAAAUGGAUUUUUUAAGCUUACAAACCUUUUGUUCUUGAUCUUGUUCUAUAAACCCCUCUGGUUGAGACAUAUAGAUACUCUCUUCAAGAUUACCGUUCAAAAAAGCUGUCUUGACAUCCAUCUGCCAAAUUUCAUAAUCAUAAAAAGUGGCGAUGGAUAAGAAUAUUCUAAUUGACUUUAACAUGGCAACAGGAGAGAAAGUUUCCUCAUAGUCUACUCCCUCUCUGGAUAUAACCCUUUGCCACAAGUCGAGCCUUGAAAGUCUGUACUUUACCGGCAUGGUCUCGUUUUCUCUUGUAGAUCCAUUUACAACCAAUAGGUUUUACGUCAUUUGGUUGAUCUACUAGAGUCCAGACAGAAUUAAAGUACAUAGACUCCAUUUCGAGGUCCAUGGCUUUGAUCCAUUGGUCACGAUCUACAUCUUUCAUUGCCUGUUUAUAGGUUAAUGGAUCCUCUAUGCCAUCGUCAGGUAUGACGACUUGAGUUUCAAUUAAACCCAAAUAGCGAUCAGGCUGAUGAACAACCCUCCCACUACGUCGAGGCUCUCUCAACUGUUGAGAAGGAUGUGAUUGACCAGAUUUCCUAGUCUUAUCAACUACCUUAGUGGAUGAACUAGGUUUAUCUAUAGCACUUUUGGAAAUUUCUUUUAAUACUAGUUUACUACGAGGUUGAUGAUCCCUGAUGUGGUCUUCCUCUAAGAAUGUGGCAUUUGUUGACACAAAUAUUUUAUUUUCUUGAGGAUCAUAAAACAAACCACCUCUUGAUUCUUUUGGAUAACCUAUAAAAAGCAUAAUUUUGAACGAUGUUCCAAUUUCUUAGGAUUUUGUACCAACACGUGUGCUGGACAACCCCAAAUUCUAAAAUGACGUAAACUGCCUUUACGCCCUUUCCAUAGCUCAUAAGGUGUUUCUGAAACACUUUUAGAGGGAACAUUAUUCAAAAUAUAAGCAGCUGUUUCUAAAGCAUAUCCCCAAAAAGAAUCUGACAUCUGAGAAAAACUCAUCAUAGAGCGAACCAUGUCUAACAAGGUCCGGUUUCUUCUUUCUGAUACACCGUUCUGUUGAGGUGUACUAGGUGCAGAGAGUUGUGACUGGAUUCCAUUUUCUAUUAAAUAGUCUCGGAAUCGUAAGUCCAUAUACUCUCCACCUCGAUCUGAUCGAAGUAUUUUUAUUGUUUUACCUAAUUCGUUUUCUACUUCAGCCUUAUAUUCUUUGAACUUUUCAAGACUAUUAGACUUAUGAUGUAUUAGGUAAAUAUGACCAUACCUUGAAUAAUCAUCAAUGAAGCUAAUGAAAUAUUCAUAUCCACCUCGAGCUUUGACAUUCAUUGGUCCACAAAGGUCCGAAUGUACGAGCUCUAAGGGUCCUUUGGCUCUUAGACCUUUUCCAGUAAAAGAUCUCUUGGUCAUUUUUCCUUCAAGACAAGAUUCACAAGGAGGUAAAGAGUUAUUUUCUAACGACUUAGAAGCCCACUUUUAACAAUCUCCCAAUCCUAUUGAGAUUUAUGUGACCAAGUCUUAAGUGCCAUAAAUAGGCAUUAGAAGAAACUUUUUGUCUUUUAUUCUGAGUUUCAGCUGUUCUGAAUAUUUCAGUAUUUAAGACAAAAUUUGCUCUAGUUGGUCUUAACUUAUAUAAGUUGUCUUCAAGUAUAGCAGAACAAACUAGAAUACCUUUAUAGAAAACGAACGCUUCAUUAAUUUCAAAAGAUAUUCUAUACAUUUGUUCCAAAAUACAAGAGAUAGAUAUUAAAUUUCUUUUCAUUUGAGGUACAUAUAAGACAUUCUUAAGUAUGACAUAUCUAUCUCUAAAAAAAACUUUAAAUCUCCCACUGCUGAAGCUGAGACCAUCUCUCCUGUUCCAACCUUGAGAGUGAUCUCGCCUUCUGAAAGCUUUUUCCAAGAACUAUUUUCCUGAAAUGAGAAGCAAAUAUGGUUAGUGGCUCCUGAAUCUAGUAUCCAGGUACAAUUUUCAUAUUCCACUAAACAUGUUUCUACAACUAGUAAAUCAUAUUUACCUUGUGUUUCCUUCUCUGCCUUUUUUUCUGCAAGGUAUUUUGGGCAGUUUCUUAACCAGUGCCCGUUUUGGCCACAAUGGUAACACUUACCUUUUUCUGCACUUUCUUACCCUUGUUCUGUUUGGGAGUCUUUCCCUUUCCCUUCUUUUUUAUUUGAGCAUUAGGUUUUGAGGGUCCAGCUUUGGUUUUAGAGGACGAUCCUCUUAUAAAUUUUCUUUUUGUGGUAGCAACAUUUGCUUCCACUUGUUUUCCUUUACCCAUAGUAGGUUUUGGAAUCGCUGGAGUUCAUUCAGAAGGGUUGUCAAGUUAAAUUCUAUCUUGUUCAAAGACGCAUUCGUUUGGAAUGGAAUGAAGCUCUUCGGAAGAGACUCUAAGAUAAAACUAACUUGAUUAACCUCUUCGAUGGGACCACCAUUCACUUCAGCGAUGUUGAAGUGCAUCAUCAUGUCCAGAACAUGUUCUCUAACAGAGGUCCCUUCCUUCAUACGCUUAGUGUAAAUGUAUUUGACUGCCUCGUGUCUUAAGGACCAUUCUGGUUGCCCAAACAUUCCCCUUAAUGAAUCCAUAAUCUCUUUAGCCGUGGCUAAGGAUUCAUGUUUCUUUGCCAAUACAUCAGACAUGCUGGCAAGAAUGUAGACACGGGCUUUUUCAUUAGCUUUUAUCCAUCGAUCAUAUGCAUCCCGACUAGUUCGGUUAGCAUUAGAGGCAGGGUUUUGAGGACAUUCCUCAGUUAAGACAAAUCUUAAAUCGUCAACCACUAGUAUUGUGUUAAGAUUUGAUUUCCAAGCCGCAUAAUUAUCGCCAUUAAGUUUUUCGGAAGCUAAAAGUUGAACUAUUGAGCUAUUCAUGCUGAAAACAACAUAUUCUUUUUAGGAAAAAACUAUAAUCAUAAAAAAUAUCCAAUCUAAUUUAGCAAUUACUAAUAAUGUACCCUUUCAUUAUUUGUAUUUUGCAACAAUAUUUCAAAGGUUUAGAACAACCUUCUCCGAAGGGUAGUUGAUUAUUCCUCCUUUGAACCAAGACAAUCUUGACUAGAUGCUAUCUCUAGAAUAACUCUUUAUUCUUUAUAGCACUUAGUUAUCGCUACUUUAGUCAAGAAUAUACUAACAACUUAGUAAUUCUUGUAAGUGUUACCCACCAUUUUCAGAUUUCAUAGAUUAGAAUCAUUUAUGAAAACUAAUCUAAGAAAUCCUAUCCAGUUUGGAGUUCGCGGUGUUCCGAAUCCUAUAAUACAACCCUCCGAAGGGAACGUCGCUCCAGGGCAGACAAGCAGGCAUAUUAUAGAAAUCUCACGGUGCGACCUAAUGGAAGAGACCGUGGGAUGUGCUGCCACAAAUCCCUCACCCACUUACUAUGAACUACUUCCCCUAUUCACCUUGAUUUUGAUCCAUGCAAACACUCUCCGAAGGGAGGCCGCUCCUAUGCACGGCACAAAGCCCUGCAUGGACCUCACGGUGUGAACUCUUAGGGACACUAGAGCUAAAAUACAUUAUUUUUCUCUAGUUGAAGUGUUCUAGAGAAAAAAAUAGGGUAAUCCAAGCUUCAAGAUUUAUAUUUAGGCUAACUUAAACAAAUCUUAAGUCUAGAUAAAACAUCCAAGUAUAACCAUUAUACAGGAUUUUAACCUAUGAUGUCUAGGUGAAAAACCAUUUUUAUUACCUCACACCUCUCACGAAUGCUCAUAAAACUAGGUUAACUAGGCUCAAGAACUGAUUACGAUCUCCAGGUAGGAGGUGUUCCGUAAACCGUCAACUUAAGAACCUCCAACCUUAGUCAUCUUAUCUGACUUGUUGACAAGAUUGAACCAGGUGAGCCUUUUGUAACCAGUUUUACAAGAUAUCGACCUAUUUCUAUGAAAAAUGGAAGAUAUGUUUAACCUAAGUGAGCAUGCAUUUAAUCUUUGUUAUUGAUUUUAAAAGUCUAAUUUAUUUUAUAACACUUAUAAAAACUUUUUAAACUUAAUCAAUCAUUUUAUCAAUAUAUAAACGUAUAAAACAAUCAAUUAAUAUGGAUUUUAAUUUAUUUAACUUUAAUUAAAUCAUAUUUAAUUAAAUUAAAUCAAACAAUAAAUAUAAUUAAUUUGAUUAAAUCAUAUUUAAUCAAGAAUAACUUAAUUUAUUAAAUAAUUAAUUAAUCAUAUUAAUUAAUUUCCAUAUUAAUCAAUUAACAUGCAUACAAUACAAUAUAACCUUUAUAUCAUACAUUUUAAUGCAUGAACAUGUUAACCUAUGGUGGGAUUUUAAAUCUAUAUGACAUUCAAAAUGCACAUACAAAUUUAAAGUAAUUUAAUCAUACAUCACAUGCAUAAAUAAAAAAAACACCCUAAAAUGGACUGAUUUUUGGCUCCUAAAUUAAGCUAAGUACUAAAUUAUUACAUAAUUAAUUUGGUGUAGUACAGAACCACUCCCAAAAACUUCGAACCGGCUGAAAAACCAACCGAAACCGCUUGAACCGGCCCAAAAACCAAAUUUAUUGGCUUGAACGGCCCAGGCGCACACGGGUCGGCGAAGGCAGGCGCGCGGCGAGGCGGGCGCGCGGCGCAGGGGCGCGCGGCGCGUGCGGGUCGCGAAGCGGGUCAAGGCGGGUUUUCGGUCUGUGACCUUCUUUUCUUCAUUUUUUUCAAUUCUCUCACCGGUUGAACCAAUUACAGCCUAGCUUCAACUCUAAUGACUUUUUUUAUUUUUUUAAAAAUUACAAACACUUUGCAACAAUAAAAAUAAGCCAUUAACAAGGCUAAUUACAAUAAUUAGAACAAAAACACUUAAUCUAGAGCCAAAAUCAUAAUAUAUCCAUUUUAGUUCAAACCAAAAUUUAUCUAAUAAAUAUGAACCCACCACAUGCAAUUGGGUAAAAAUGAAGCAUGCUCUGAUACCACAUGAUAGAACUAAGUCAUGCACAGCGGAAAAAGAAUCGAAUUUCUACCCUAAUUGCCACAAUUAACAUGUAACCAUAAACUAAUCAAAUUAGGGUUUUAAGAAGUAUUACCUUUGAAGCUUUCAAAAGGUUUGAUGUCUUCUUACCAAUUCUACCCGAGACCACCACUAGUACUCAACUGCUAUCCUCUAGACAAAGAACCGGGUUGUGGGACCCAAUUUUGGUGUAGAAAAUAAUGGAGAUAAAAUGAGAUUGGAAGUUUUUUUUUUCUUUUGUUGAGAUGAUGAAAAUGAUAAAAGAGGCAAAAGUCCUUCAACAUUUGAAAACACCUCUAUUUAUAGCCUAAUUGCAUGCAAAAAUGCAUGCAAUUCAUUUGCCAAAUCUCAACACCUAAUGUUCCACUAACAAUUAGUGGAACUUAGUGGGCUAGGUGUCUAUAUCUCAUAUAGCCACAUAUCCCACUAAGAGUUAGUGGGAUUAUCCAACAAAAUGUUGGAUUUUCCCACUAACUUAGUCCAAGGGUAAAAUGGUCAUUAGAUAUUUCUAGUCAAAAGUCAAAAGUCAAUAUUUUGACUUUUUACCAUUUUGUCCGUCUUGACUAAUUCCAACCUCCCGAGCAUGAAUCCGCAUUCAUUUUUCCAAAAUUCAAAUCACAUUUGAAUAUAAGGCCGGUCAAAGUUUGACUUUUCAAAGUCAAAAGUCAACAUUUUGACUUUUUACUAUUUUUGACCAAUUCCGAGCUUCUUAGUAUGAAUCCGCAUUCAUACUUAUAGUAUGUAAAACAUAAAGCUCUAUUUCUAAUUAGAAGACGACGACUAUAUCACUGUAUUUGUCGGUUUCCCUUUCUUCUCCCAAUUCGAACAAUUCGACUUAUUUCAUCACACUGUUCUAAGUUUAAUCCAUAUGAGCUAGCAGAGGAACCUAAUGGACCUAUAGAUCAUGGGCUCCAACGAUUCAAGAUUAACUAGCUAAACUCUUUUAAACCGAGUUAAUCAACAUUCGUUAACUAACGGGUCAUUCCACUAAAGUCCCGUAGUUGCACUCCCCUCACUAUAGAUAUAUUUGUGUCCAUUUGAUAAAACCAUAAUCAGUAAGUUAAUCCUUCACAGGUUGCUCGUAACCUUGGCUGGGUCAAAAUACCGUUUUACCCCAAGAUUACAUCUUGCUCCUUAAGUCCCACUAAUCCACUAUUGAACAAUUGGUUUAAGGUUCAACCUAUAAACUUAAUCCCUCUCGGGCCAAUGAGAGGGUGGGGCCCCUUGUUCAAGACUUGGAUUCAGUGCUUAAGAGAGCAACCUAUCUACUAACCCUAAAGCGGGUAGGAGUGAAUUCCAUCUUGUACCCUAUGUUCCCAGCUAUCCACCCGAUCUUACCCCUGAAAUGGGAGGCUUAUUGGGCCAACGCUGAUGAGCUGCCCUCACCUAUGCAGAUCUAAGGAUAAUCUCGUGUGAACAGGAGUUCAUAGUUAACUCAGGAUUAAGACUAAGUUACCUAGGUCAUCAAUAAUUGAGAUAGUCAGUUUUAAACAGUAAACGGUGUUAUAACGUAAAAAAGACUAAUUCAUGGUUCAGUCUUAUGUAAACAUUUUACAUAGGAUGCCCCCACUUUCAUGUCUCUACAUGAACGAUUAGGAUCACCUCGUUUGCACUACAAAGUGGGCCGCAUCCAUAGUUUCUCUAAAUAAGGCGCCCAACCUUUAUUUCAUAUACUAUAGACUAUUUAGGCUAUAUACUCGAACUUGAUCCACGUUUAUGUUUACACAUAAAGUUCAAGUUUAUUCAAAAAAUAGCCUUGGAACUUGAUUUAUUGGAUUUAAGAUUAUAAUAUUUAAUUUCUCAAUAACAACUUUAUUGAACAGAAUAUGAUUUACAAACUACGAGUUUUAGGACAAAAAAUUCCAACAGUAUGAAGUCGAAUAUUCUGCAAAGAAAGUAAGGAAAUCGGUGUUCUGGUCUAACACAAGUACGAGUAAAAAUACUAUAAGGAUGAAGUGUAUCGCUUACAUACCCUAUUAUUUGGAGGAAUGUCGAUGAUGAAAUGAAAAAACAAGAUUCAUUAAAAUGAAUGAGAAAAUGAUCUUAUUUUAUUUUUAAAAAAUGUUGUGCCUCAGAGGAGUUGAAUCUGUUCGAUGUAACGAACUGAAUCUAUUAGUAGAAACAUCAAUACAAAUUAUGCAGCAAAGUAUAUAUAGGGUUGUAAAUGCAAACAAAAUAAGCAUACAACAUCAACACAUAAAAAUCAAACAGUCAUACAACAUCGACACAAAAAAUAUAUAUCAAACAAUCAUACAACAUCAACAUCAACAUCAACAUCCCUUAAAAUGGCUAUGGAUAGUAAACAUGAGAUGACAUGAAAGAAAUCAUGAAAAGUAUGAAAUGGCAGUGGAUAAGGUUUUAUGUAUAAGAAGGUAUAUCCUUCAAAUAAUGAAGAAAUUCAUGACCCAUAAUAUGCCUUAAACAUAACAGAUCGGAAUUGAACAGUAAGGACAGACAUGCACAUUCUUGUUAACAUAGAUAUGACAAAAGAAAAAAGAAGGACAAAUGGAACUUCAAAAGAAUAAAAGAAAAUGAAUUUACCUACCAAAUGAAGAAAGAACAGAGGAGGAAGCAAGGAAAACAACACAUAAUAAAAUACAACAAAUGAAGUGCUAUAUAUAGAGGGAUAGAUGGUCAAGUAUGCCUUUAUUGACCCAUACCAAAAAAAUAAAAGAAGGGAACCUCUUUAAAUGACAGAAGUGUACAGAAAAGAGGAGGACAUAGUCAAAACCUACCACAUUAAGACAAAGAUAAGCUAUGAAUAGACAAAUGCAUAACCAAGGAAAAUGAUUGAACACAGACAGUGCAAUGUUAUGGAUUGAUGAGAUUUGCUUACAAAUAAAGAGAAUAAAACAGAACAGACAGUUGCUUGCAAAUAAAGAGAGCAGACUUCACAGCAACUCAACAUCAUAAGGCAUCUUAAUUGCAAGUAAACUGAAACUGUAAACAUAGUUACUCAAAUGUCAAAUGUCAAAAGAAAUAAAUAUGACAACAUAUUUCUUAGUGUCAAAAGAAAUAAAUAUGACAACAUAUUUCUUAGGGCACCAAUUAAAAAACAUGCCUGAAAAUGCAGUGUUCAGAUUGCUAAACAUCGUAGCAACAAGAAAUUCAAACAAACAAAACUAAUCAAAAACAUGAAAAACAAGGACAACAUUGUAGUUUCAGACGGGGAUGGCCAAAAAUGAAAAAAUAUGGAAGGACAUUGAAGUAAGAAACAAAACUACUUACGAAUAAUUUUCCAGACAAGCACAUAAACAAAAGUAAUUACAAAUAAUUAUGAAUUCAAAGAAACAAAACUAAUCAAAAACAUGGAAAAUAAACAACAUUGUAGUUUCAAAGAGGAUGCCCAAAAAUGAAAAAACAUGAACGUAAAUUGAAGUAAGAAACAAAACUACUUCAAAUAAUUUUUCAGAGAAGCACAUAAACAAAAGUAAUUACGAAUAAUUAUGAAUUUAAACAAACAAAACUAAUCAGAAACAUGAAAAACAAACAACAACAUUGCAGUUUCAAACAGGGAUGACCGAAUAUGAAAAAUUGGAAGUAAAUUGAAGAAAAAAACAAAAACAAUUACAAAUAAUUAUUCAGACAAGUACAUAAACAGAAUUAAUCACAAAUAAUUAUUCAGACAAUACAUAAGUGUAAUCCUUAUCAUCAGCUUCGAUAGAAACUCAAAAUCCAACCACUUACCUCCAACCCUACCUUGCUCAAACAUCCCAAUUGCAGAAGAUGAUAGUAACGAUAGUGUAGGAAGUGUCCAAAUCAGAGAGAAAAAAAUACUCGAUCGGCAAAUGGGAGUCCAAGCGGCAAGGGGAAGUGGAAGGGGAAAACUGAGUCGGAAUUGCAUGUUCACCAAGAAGAGUGGUGAACAUGCAAGCGAUUGAGUUUCGGAGGUAAAGUGCAAAACUCGGUCGUUCAACAAAAUCAAAAGGGAUACCCAUUUGUUUCGGAGGCAACGCUGUGAGCGAAGCCUUCAACGAAACUUGGGAGACGACGAGUAGGAGAGAAACAAAAUUAAGAAAUUUUAAUCUGUUUUUAAACUUUUAAAAAUGGUUCAAAAGUUCUAUAAGUUAGUUUUGUAUGAAAACUAUUAAAAUUUUGUUUCAAAAGUAUCCUCCAACUAUUCAAAAUUUUCAUAAACACUCUUAAACUUAUAAAAAAUUCAAAAAUACUUUCAUUUAUCUAAUUUUUAAACAAAAUUUCUUAUCCCUCAAAAUAAAAAUCAAAACUUUAAGUUAAAACUAUAGUUUUAAAUUUUCAUCCAUAUGUAGGCAUUUCUAUCGAUAUUUUCACAUUUUCAUGUGUUUGAUAUUGAUAGUAAUGAAGCAAUAUUUCCAUUACACCAUAGAAAAAUGCACAAAUCACAACAAAUAAACAUAAAAAUAACACUAAUAUAAAAUAUAAAUAAUAGACAUGUUUACUUAUUUGAAAAUAAUAAAAUAUUUAUUUACUAAUUUAAAAUUAUUAUUUUUUAAUUAUUGUUUUUAUAAUAAUUUUUCAAAAAUAUCUAUCGAAAUCAAAAUUUAUGUAAUAUCAAGACUUCAAUAUAUCAGUCAACAUUCAUAUCUUAAACAUGAUUUAAACCAUACAAUUUUACAAAAUUUCACGAAGUUUUCUCGUUAAAACAAUUACUAGUCAAAUAAAAAACAUCUCACGUUGAGAGAUCUAUCAGACUAUCACUAUAUGUUAAUAGUCAUAUACAUUUUGUUAUUUGACAAUGGUACAACAAUAACUAUUGAGAAGGGUUAUGUUUGUGAUCUAUGAUUAUGGGUUAAUAGUCAGAUAAAAAUAAAACUAUAGUUUUAAUUUAAAAUUUUUAUUUUUAUUUUAUAAAUUGGUGCAAAAUUUGGAGAUUAUCUUUUAACUUUUUUUUUUUUUUUGAAGCAUAAGGGUAUUAUAUUUUUUAAAACUUUUUAAUAGUUGAGGGUUAUUUUUUAGGAAAAUUGCAUAGGAUGACAUUUUGAGAAUAUAAUAUAACAAUUAUAGCACAUUGUUUUAGAAUUUUGCAAAUAUGGUAAAAUUUUUACUUCUUCAUCUUAAAUUUGACAUUAUUUCUAAACUACCAUUCAAUAACUUAUUUUUCUUCCUCUUUUUAAUGUCCUACUCAUUAUUUAUUUAUGCUCCCACUUUUUAAGGCCCUAAUUACUUGUUUAUUCUUAUACUAGAAAAAUUAUUUAUUCUUUCUGUCUUCAUCUUAAUUUUAAAAUAUCAAUAGUACAUUAGUUUUAAUAUGAAUAAUAUAAUAUAAUGGUUGUUGAUUGGAGUAAUUUAACUUUAUUUGUGAUUUUUUUUUACUUUCUUUAUGUGUAUUUUGAGUUGAAUUUGAUUCCAAAUGAUUUUCUUUUAUUUUUUUAUAUUAAUUUUUUUGUUUUACUCUGUCUCAGUUUCGUAUGAUAGUAUUGUAGUAUACUUAUAUUAUAUGUAUUAGUUGGUUAAUAUACUUACUACGUGGUUUUCAUUUUUUCAAAUUUUAUGUAGUUUAUUAGAGUAUUAUUAAGUAUAUGAAUGAUGUAAUUCAAUAUAUCAUUAUCAAGUAUAUCAACAAUAUAUUGUUAAAACAUAUCAGUAAAGUGAAUCAUUAACAAGUAUAUGAAUCGAGUUUACAAGUGUAUAUCGAUAGCAUAUCAAGUGUAUAAGUAGGACUUCAAGCAUAUCAAGUUCAUUUAAUCAAUCAAUUGUAUAAGUGGAUAAUACUAAAUGUAUAUGCAAUGUAUCAGGUGUAUCAAACAUAUAUUAGCAUGUUUCGGUAUCGAGUGUAUCAAAGAGUAUCAGGUGCAUCAAGUGUAUCAAUCAAAUGUAUCAGGUGUAUCAAGAAGUAUUAGGUGUAUCAAUGGGUGUAUUAGUGAUAGAACUAAGUCAUGCACAGCGGAAAAAGAAUCGAAUUUCUACCCUAAUUGCCACAAUUAACAUGUAACCAUAAACUAAUCAAAUUAGGGUUUUAAGAAGUAUUACCUUUGAAGCUUUCAAAAGUUUGAUGUCUUCUUACCAAUUCUACCCGAGACCACCACUAGUACUCAACUGCUAUCCUCUAGACAAAGAACCGGGUUGUGGAACCCAAUUUUGGUGUAGAAAGUAAUGGAGAUAAAAUGAGAUUGGAAGCUUUCUUUUUUCUUUUGUUGAGAUGAUGAAAAUGAUAAAAGAGGCAAAAGUCCUUCAACAUUUGAAAACAUCUCUAUUUAUAGCCUAAUUACAUGCAAAAAUGCAUGCAAUUCAAUUGCCAAAUCUCAACACCUAAUAUUCCACUAACAAUUAGUGGAACUUAGUGGGCUAGGUGUCUAUAUCUCAUAUAGCCACAUAUCCCACUAAGAGUUAGUGGGAUUAUCCAAC
rnacentral:lncRNA from 1 species